CACACCCUUAGAGCGGCUGUUGUCUUACUCUCUGCUAGGGUUUGUCUCCUCACCGCUUUCAAGUUUGCUCGAGCUCUUUCCUACUCCACCUCCUAAGCGUACUCCUUAAUCUGUUGCGUCCGUGUCUACCAUCGAGGUCUUGCUCUAGCUCAUUCCAGAUAAAAGAGUUACUCAGGGUCAACAAAGGAGGAAUGAUUUCGCUGCAUAGUCUGCAUAGGCUGGACUUUAAAUUUCUUUAUGGGCUUUUCUUUAGGGCUACGGCCUAUGUACCUGUUCGUUCUUGGAUUCAUAUACUUUUUGUCAAACUCUUUAACUAGUUUUCUUUUGGGACUUCGUGGUGUGCCUUGGAUGGUAAGGAGUUAAGUUUUAAACUCCUGGACUGCACUAUUAUGUUAUCUUUAUGUGACGCUUCCUUUAGU